rnacentral:rRNA from 1 species
CCUACGGGUGGCAGCAGUGAGGAAUAUUUGUCAAUGGACGAGAGUCUGAACCAGCCAAGUAGCGUGAAGGAUGACUGCCCUAUGGGUUGUAAACUUCUUUUAUAUGGGAAUAAAACGUUCCACGUGUGGGAUUUUGUAUGUACCAUAUGAAUAAGGAUCGGCUAACUCCGUGCCAGGAGCCGCGGUAAUACGGAGGAUCCGAGCGUUAUCCGGAUUUAUUGGGUUUAACGGGAGCGUAGGGGGAUUGUUAAGUCCUGUGUGAAAGUUUGCGGCUCAACCGUAAAAUUGCAGUUGAAACUGGCAGUCUUGAGUACAGUAGUGGUGGGCGGAAUUCGUGGUGUAGCGGUGAAAUGCUUAGAUAUCACGAAGAACUCCGAGUGCGAAGGCAGUUCACUGGACUGCAACUGACACUGAGGCUCGAAAGUGUGGGUAUCAAACAGGAUUAGAUACCCUGGUAGUC